rnacentral:rRNA from 1 species
UUCGUGUGGAGCCAUCCUUGAAAUACCACCCUUUAAUGGCUGGUGUUCUAACGUGGGCCCGUAAUCCGGGUUGCGGACAGUGUCUGGUGGGUAGUUUGACUGGGGCGGUCUCCUCCUAAAGAGUAACGGAGGAGCACGAAGGUUAGCUAAUCCUGGUCGGACAUCAGGAGGUUAGUGCAAAGGCAUAAGCUAGCUUGACUGCGAGCGUGACGGCGCGAGCAGGUGCGAAAGCAGGUCUUAGUGAUCCGGUGGUUCUGAAUGGAAGGGCCAUCGCUCAACGGAUAAAAGGUACUCCGGGGAUAACAGGCUGAUACCGCCCAAGAGUUCAUAUCGACGGCGGUGUUUGGCACCUCGAUGUCGGCUCAUCACAUCCUGGGGCUGAAGUAGGUCCCAAGGGUAUGGCUGUUCGCCAUUUAAAGUGGUACGCGAGCUGGGUUUAGAACGUCGUGAGACAGUUCGGUCCCUAUCUGCCGUGGGCGCUGGAGAAUUGAGGGGGGCUGCUCCUAGUACGAGAGGACCGGAGUGGACGCAUCACUGGUGUUCGGGUUGUCAUGCCAAUGGCAUUGCCCGGUAGCUAAAUGCGGGAGAGAUAAGUGCUGAAAGCAUCUAAGCACGAAACUUGCCCCGAGAUGAGUUCUCCCUGACCCUUUAAGGGUCCUGAAGGAACGUUGAAGACGACGACGUUGAUAGGUCGGGUGUGUAAGCGUAGCGAUACGUUGAGCUAACCGAUACUAAUGAACCGUGAGGCUUAACCUUACAACGCCGAAG